rnacentral:rRNA from 1 species
AGCGAACGCUGGCGGCAGGCUUAACACAUGCAAGUCGAGCGGACCUUUCGGGGUCAGCGGCGGACGGGUGAGUAACGCGUGGGAACGUGCCUUCCGGUUCGGAAUAACCCUGGGAAACUAGGGCUAAUACCGGAUACGCCCUUAUGGGGAAAGGUUUACUGCCGGAAGAUCGGCCCGCGUCUGAUUAGCUAGUUGGUGGGGUAACGGCCUACCGAGGCGACGAUCAGUAGCUGGUCUGAGAGGAUGAUCAGCCACACUGGGACUGAGACACGGCCCAGACUCCUACGGGAGGCAGCAGUGGGGAAUAUUGGACAAUGGGCGCAAGCCUGAUCCAGCCAUGCCGCGUGAGUGAUGAAGGCCUUAGGGUUGUAAAGCUCUUUUAUCCGGGACGAUAAUGACGGUACCGGAGGAAUAAGCCCCGGCUAACUUCGUG